CGCGGUUAUACCAAGUGAUUAAGUUAUAUUCAUAGGUAAAAAGACAGUUAGGUUUAAAAUAAAUUAGUUUAUUUAACAUCUAUAAAAAAGUAAAAUUUGUAUAUAGAUAGCUAAUCUAGAAAUAACAGUAAAUAUGCUGAAGCUGUGAUAGUCUUGAGGGAAACUGGGAUUAGAUACCCCAUUAUUCUUGAUUGUAAAUAUAAUUAAAUUUACCAGAGUACUAUGAAUAGCUAAAAAUUUAAAACUCAAAGGGCUUGGCGGUGUUUUAGACCUAUCAGGGGAACCUGUCUCGUAAUCGACAAUCCGCGUUAUAUCUAACCUUAUUUUGUAAUCAGUUUGUAUACCGUCGUCGUCAGGUAACUUUUAAAAAUAUAGAAGUUAGCAAUUAAAAUCAUAUAAAUUAAAACGUCAGAUCAAGGUGCAGCCUAUAAUAAGGAGAGGAUGGGUUACAAUUAUAAAAAUUAUAAUUACGGAAAUUUAAGUGAAAUUAUUAUUUUGAAGGAGGACUUGAAAGUAAACUAAAAUAUAUAAGUAGUUUGAAUAAGGCUCUG
rnacentral:rRNA from 1 species